rnacentral:rRNA from 1 species
ACGAACGCUGGCGGCGUGCUUAACACAUGCAAGUCGCACGGAAAGGCCCUGCUUUUGUGGGGUGCUCGAGUGGCGAACGGGUGAGUAACACGUGAGUAACCUGCCCUUGACUUUGGGAUAACUUCAGGAAACUGGGGCUAAUACCGGAUAGGAGCUCCUGCUGCAUGGUGGGGGUUGGAAAGUUUCGGCGGUUGGGGAUGGACUCGCGGCUUAUCAGCUUGUUGGUGGGGUAGUGGCUUACCAAGGCUUUGACGGGUAGCCGGCCUGAGAGGGUGACCGGCCACAUUGGGACUGAGAUACGGCCCAGACUCCUACGGGAGGCAGCAGUGGGGAAUAUUGCACAAUGGGCGGAAGCCUGAUGCAGCAACGCCGCGUGCGGGAUGACGGCCUUCGGGUUGUAAACCGCUUUCGCCUAUGACGAAGCGUGAGUGACGGUAAUGGGUAAAGAAGCACCGGCUAACUACGUG